rnacentral:lncRNA from 1 species
GCUGGAGUUCCCAUUUAUUAAGCAACGUUAGGAAUGUGCGUGCACGUGCAGCUGGCUUGCACACCAGCAGCCCUGUAGUUGGGUGUGUACUCAAAGGUUAACUCUCCCCCAGGACAGCAGGGUGGGAAGAUGAAUGACAAGAAGACCUGGGAGUACCUCCGCUCACAGAACUCCAGUUACAGCUGGCUGGGUACAGUGGCUCACGCCUGUAAUCUCAGAAACCAUCCCUGCAGUCUGAAAGAGCUCCCUCUGACCCCACA